CCUAUCAGCCGGGUUAUCGUCCCGGUUUUAACCGGGAAGGAAAGUCCGGACAGCACAGAGCAACAUACCGGUUAACAGCCGGCUUCGGUAUGUUUAGUGGAAACACUGACCAUGGCGAAAGAGACAGGGCCACAGAAAAUUACCGUCCCUACAUAGUGUAGGGAUAAGGGUGAAAACGUGAGGUAAGAGCUCACGGGUUUUUGCAGUAAUGCAUAAAUUGGGUAAACCUUGUGUGCUGUAAUGCCACGUAAACCGGCGCUUGAGGGCGGCUCGUCCGAUGCCGAAGGGUAGGCAGCAAGAUUGUAACAGUAAUGUUGCAGCCAGAUAAAUGAUGACCUCAAUCCUGUAUAGCGCAAGCUUUGCAGGGUAAGACAGAAUCCGGCUUACAGGCUGAUAGAUUUU
rnacentral:RNase_P_RNA from 1 species